rnacentral:rRNA from 1 species
AUCUACGGAUGAAAGUGGGGGCUCGCAAGACCUCAUGCUUUUGGAGCGGCCGAUAUCUGAUUAGCUAGUUGGUGAGGUAAAGGCUCACCAAGGCAUCGAUCAGUAGCUGGUCUGAGAGGACGACCAGCCACACUGGAACUGAGACACGGUCCAGACUCCUACGGGAGGCAGCAGUGGGGAAUUUUGGACAAUGGGGGCAACCCUGAUCCAGCAAUGCCGCGUGAGUGAAGAAGGCCUUCGGGUUGUAAAGCUCUUUUGUCAGGGAAGAAACGGUAAAUCUCUAAUAUAGGUUGCUAAUGACGGUAUCUGAAGAAUAAGCACCGGCUAACUACGUGCCAGCAGCCGCGGUAAUACGUAGGGUGCAAGCGUUAAUCGGAAUUACUGGGCGUAAAGCGUGCGCAGGCCGGUUAUGUAAGUCAGAUGUGAAAAUCCCCGGGCUCAAACCUGGGGAAAUGGGCAUUUUGAGAACUGCAUGGCUUAGAAGUGGUGUUCAAAAGGGG